AGUGAACGCUGGCGGUAGGCCUAACACAUGCAAGUCGAACGGCAGCACAGUAAGAGCUUGCUCUUACGGGUGGCGAGUGGCGGACGGGUGAGGAAUACAUCGGAAUCUACUUUUUCGUGGGGGAUAACGUAGGGAAACUUACGCUAAUACCGCAUACGACCUACGGGUGAAAGCAGGGGAUCUUCGGACCUCGCGCGAUUGAAUGAGCCGAUGUCGGAUUAGCUAGUUGGCGGGGUAAAGGCCCACCAAGGCGACGAUCCGUAGCUGGUCUGAGAGGAUGAUCAGCCACACUGGAACUGAGACACGGUCCAGACUCCUACGGGAGGCAGCAGUGGGGAAUAUUGGAAAAUGGGCGCAAGCCUGAUCCAGCCAUACCGCGUGGGUGAAGAAGGCCUUCGGGUUGUAAAGCCCUUUUGUUGGGAAAGAAAAGCAGCAGGUUAAUACCCCGCUGUUCUGACGGUACCCAAAGAAUAAGCACCGGCUAACUUCGUG
rnacentral:rRNA from 1 species